rnacentral:misc_RNA from 1 species
GCGCUAGCGAGCCUGCAUUCGCGUGCUAUGAAAUUUCAGCGUGAUUGACGUCGUUCUCGUGCACUGGCUGCACCUUUUCCUUCGCCAUGAGAGUGACAUACAUCGUUCGCUCUGGGCCGAAUAAACAGACGAGUCAAAGAAACCGUUGCGGAGAGAGAGGCAGACGUCCAUAGAGCACACACGCACACUUGCACUUGCGCUGACGCUUUCACGUGUCUACUCCAGUCGCCUCAUCAGCGCUGCUUUUUACCACUCUUUCCAUCUCACGUGCGCCUGCCGCCCCCCUGUCCUCCUCGCGUUGCCGGCAUGCAUGCAGAGCGACUGCGACAUCUACCUCUCUCUCUUUUCUUGUUUCUGAAGUGUGUCUGCGACUGCGCACAUCUUCUCGUUUGUGAGCAGCGGCGUGUGGGACCCUCUGAAGUGUCCUUUCUUUUUUCCACUUCUCUACGUUUUUUUUUUCGUCUCUCUCACGUGCCCUGACAAUGCCGGUCACCACACGCUGGCGUCAUGAUCCAAUACUCACUCGUUGUGAUAAUGCCGAGCAG